AUUAAUAAGCUUUAUAAAGCAUUUGUUUUGAAAACUUAAGAAAGAAUAAUAUACUAUUCUAUUAAUU
rnacentral:tRNA from 1 species